rnacentral:rRNA from 1 species
AGUGAACGCUGGCGGUAGGCCUAACACAUGCAAGUCGAACGGCAGCACAGUAUGAGCUUGCUCUUACGGGUGGCGAGUGGCGGACGGGUGAGGAAUACAUCGGAAUCUACUUUUUCGUGGGGGAUAACGUAGGGAAACUUAUGCUACUACCGCAUAAGACCUAAGGGUGAAAGCAGGGGAUCUUCGGACCUUGCCCGCAUUAAUGAGCCGACGUCGGAUUAGUUAGUUGGUGGGUUAAAGGCCCACCAAGGCGACCAACCGUAGCUGGUCUGCAGGGAUGUUCAGCCACACGGGAACGGAGACACGGUCCAGACUCCUAGGGAGGGAGGCGGAGGGGAAUAUUGGACAUGGGGCGCAAUCCGGAUCCAGCCAUACGGCGUGGGUGAAGAAGUCCUUCGAGUGUUAAAGCCCUUUUGUUGGGAAAGAAAAGCAGCAGGUUAAUACCCCGCUGUUCUGACGGUACCCAAAGAAUAAGCACCGGCUAACUUCGUG